GAAAGUUUCCCAACUUCUCCACAUUGCAGUGAGCACCAGCGAAACUGAAGCCAGUGUGAAUAGUGUAUCCAAGAUGCAGAGUAACAACCGCAUUGCCUCAGAUAUCCCUUCCUACAAAUGGUGGUCCAUUUUCAAUCUCUUCUGCUGUUGCUUGCCGCUUGGUGUCGUGGCUAUAAUUUAUUCCAUCCAGUCUGAAAAUGCCGCCAAGAAUGGAGACAUCGCCGAGGCUGAGAAAUCGUCCAGAAUCGCAAAAAUCUGGAACAUAGCUGCCUUGCUCAUUGGCCUCAUUAUUUUAAUUAUUUCCAUAACAUUGUUUGCCAUCCAGGCAUCAUUGGUCGCUAAAUACCAUUCAUACUGAGGGAAAGAAGAUGCAACCGUUUUCACU